rnacentral:lncRNA from 1 species
UUUACUUAAUUGCUCUUUAACCUUUCUCUAAUUUCUCUCUUUUUGUGGUCAGAGAGGUUGAGUUGGUCAAAUAUGAGGGCUGACUUUCCCCAAGUGAAACAUAGAAAAUACUAACCAAAACGUAGAAGGAGCAAAGGCGCAGGUAAGGGGAUUCGAUUUUUCUCCAAUUCCAGAAGCUAUGGUUCAAGAGAGAAGAGGAGCCAUGUUUGAGAGACCAAGGAGUCGCUGAGCCAGAGUCUGCACCAGGGCCUAAAGCUGUCAAAGAGGAAUCAGUGUGACCAACCAGAUGCCAUUUGAAGAGGGUUUGCUCGAGGGAAGCGAAUCUGUUUCUGCAUCUGCCAGGGUCUGACUUCUCCUUUCUUCCUUUUUCCUUUCUUUUCCUUAUAAAUAGAAUAGCGAAAUAGUGAGAAGGAAUGAAUGGGUAGUGUAGUUUUUGGGAGGCAGGACGUGUAUAGUAGUGAGUAGAGGAUAUCAAUUUUUUGAAUCUACUUUCUUUCUUUUCAAUCUUAGAAUCAGAAAAGGUAGAGAGUAGAAAAAGUGAUUUUACUUUUAAUUGGAGGUUCCACGAAGGAGUCUCAUGAGCACAAAGUGGUCGUGAGCAUUCUUUUGAGUAAUUUCUUGUAUCUUUUUUACUCUAUGAACUCAGUUCUUUCGUACAUUUUGAAUAAAAUUUUGGCUUUUAUUGUUUCUAUGUUCAAGAUAUUACAUUUUCGUUCUUUAAUUUUUUCUUGCAAGAUUUUAAGUUUCCAGAACUUUGAUAUUACUGUUUCUGCGUUCUGGAAUUGAAUUUUGACUUCUAU